UUUUUGUAAUUUAGCGCCGCGCGGAAACAGAUGUAAUCGAGCCCCGGGGAGCAAUAAACGAGAGUCACAAGCGGUCAUCCUUUCAGAGAUUAGAAACGAGACAGCCAGCAGCUUUGCGGGCGCGAGAAGCGAUAACCACCCGAAGGACGAAACCGAAACCAGCCGCACCGCGUGCGCGCGUUCUGGUGCGCAAGUGAAAGCCGCCUCGCCCCUUUGGAAAAAAAAAAAAGCAAAGACGUAGAGACA
rnacentral:lncRNA from 1 species